AACAAGGAUUCCCCUAGUAACGGCGAGUGAAGUGGGAAGAGCUCAACUUUGUAAUCUGGCUGUUUCACAGUCCGAGUUGUAGUCUAAAGAAGCAUGAUCCGCGCCGGCCCUUGGGCAUGUCUGUUGGAACGCAGUGUCAAAGAGGGUGAUAAUCCCGUACAUACCAAGGACGACCGUGUGCAUUGUGGUCUGCUCUCUAAGAGUCGAGUUGUUUGGGAAUGCAGCUCUAAUUGGGUGGUAAAUUCCAUCUAAAGCUAAAUAUCGACGAGAGACCGAUAGCGAACAAGUACAGUAAUGGAAAGAUGAAAAGUAGCCUGCAGAGGCAAUGAAACAAUACGUGAAACCGUUUGUAGGGAAGCGAUGGAACCUUUUCACGCUGCAGGGGCUCAGCCUUUCUUCGGAUUGGUGUAUUCCCCUGUUUUGCGGACCAGCAUCAGUUUGCUUGGCAGUAUAAGGGUGUUUGGAACGUGGCUCCCACGGGAGUGUUAUAGCCUUUCACUGGAUGCUGCCUCGCAGACUGAGGACUGCAGUGCGCCUUCAUGGCAUAGUCUUCGGGCUACGAGCACUUAGGAU
rnacentral:rRNA from 1 species